rnacentral:tRNA from 1 species
GCUUUUGUGGUGUAACUGGUAGCAUAUCCGACUAGAAAUCAGAAGAUCAAUGUUUCGAACACUUGCCAGGGUA